UUUAUACUCUCUCACCGUCUCCGUCACACUUCUCUCACUGCCACACCUCACGUCGCACCUCUCCGCCACAACUCUCAUCGUCACUACCUCACAACUCUAUAAACUUCAGCCACUCACCAUAUUCGGAAUGGGAUUGGAGUUCUAGGAUAAUGUUUUUGACUUCUCAUCUAUUUGAAAAAUGAACUCACGUCACCUCUUUGG
rnacentral:misc_RNA from 1 species